CUCAAAGCCGCCAGGAGCUGGGUCUUUAAAAUAACCACCGUCUCGUUACAGAGUGAAAGUAGCAGUUCCUCCUUAAGGUCAGAGGUUGCAGCAUCUGAGGGCCUCUUCAAAAGAAGACGUAGUUGAUGAAGGCGUUCUGGAGCAGGACCAGAAAGACCACGACCAAGCAGCCUUGAGAUCUUAGGCAGCGUCUCCCUGAGACCAAAGAACUACAGACUCUUCACAACCUGCUCAAACUCUUGGUACAGGACCUCACCACACGGGUCAAGAAGGUUUCCUUCUCAUUUCUACUCUGAAGCUCACCUUCUCCUGCUCAAACUGCUGACAAAUGUUUCUGCUGCUCUAAAGUCUGGUCUCCAGAACUUUCUAAAAACUCUCAAAGUCUCUUCUGCUGCAGGUUGCUUUGUAGAACUGUUCCAGAAAACCUCACUAAACCACAUGGAGGCGCCUCAAGAUAGUCGUCCAAAUGAAACCGUACAAAAACCAAACUAGUACAACCCAAACGCUAAAGUCUCCUGCAGCCUACCAGAGAACCUCUUUAAACAGAGAAUCAGGACAGGAACUCUUACCUUCUGGACAACCAACGUUGGUUCUCAAACAAGAAUACAGAAUGUGUCUGACCAAUAACCUCUAAAGACUCACUACAGCCAAGAUAAAGACACAACUCAGCUGCACCAAAUCCACUAAUGACUGCACUCAUUAGCACCAUGUGCUAACUGUGGCUAAAGAACCUCAUUUACCAAGGCAACUAUCCAGUACAAAGCCCUAAAACACACCAAGAAACACAUUAAAGACGAUUUUACUGCUGGAAGCUGCAAGCUAACGCCUAAAGAACUAACUAAAGCAACGGAACCAAACCCGGUUCAACGGUGAAGAGAAGCAGAGGAAAUGUUUGUCUGCAGCUAAAUAAAGCAGGAAGACACUGAGCUGCUCAGGUGUUCCUGAUAACACCAAUCAGCCACCUGGACAGCCAAUAGGAACACAGCUUACUGGAAGUCCAGAAGGCUGGGUUAGUCAAGGAAAUUUAGUUUAAAGUUGAAGCAGAAAGUUAAAGAAAGUUGAAAACCACCUUCUGAUACCUGAAAUCUCUGAGUUUUCACACAAAGAACGCCUGAACAUGUCAAACUGGUUCCAUAGUAGAACCAUAGUAUGGUGUGUUGCUCCAAAAACAUUAUGAUCCAGCUGUCUCGGGUCGCUGAUGAGCAACACAAAAACAGCACAAAUGCUGGUUUCCAGGGGGUUAGGAGGAUAUUUAUUUGAAAGAGGAAGUUUACAACAACACAUGUGAGCAGAAAAAUCACAAAGUCUGUCUUUAAUUCAGCUGAAAAUAUUAGUUUCUGUCUUUUGUAUUGACAAAACUUUUCAGGAAGUAGAUGAAGAAUAAUUAAAGCUCUCAUGUAGAAGUCCAACUUAUUUUGGAUCCUUGUGGAGAGUUUAAUCUUAGAGUUUGUAAAGCUGUUGAGUUUUUAGAGUCACAUGGAUUGUUUUGACAUUUAAUGACCGAGACCUGAAAUAAAAUUACAGUUGUGGAUUUCUGUCAUUUAGUCUGGACUAAACAAAUAACAGCAGCAUGAAUCUCAAACGUCAUUAUGAGGAGUCUGGAUUGAGGUUUCUCGCUUGAUAAUGAUCAAAACAUCAAAUUUUGGUUGUUUUAAAGGAAUAUUCCACCAUAAAUCUUUGAAUGUUGACCUAAAAGGUUGGUUUCAGGAAGUAUUCCAUCUACAAGGUCCUCACACAUCCACCAAAAAUCCUUGGACAUGCACCUAAAAUGUUGGUUUAACCGAGUAUUCCAUCCAAAAUCCUCAAAGAGAGCUGAGGGGCUGGUUAAAAGGAAUAUUCCACCUAAAACCUCAAAUAUAGACCCUAAAGGGUGGACUCGGUAUCCUCAGACCCACGAGUCGGGGGGUCGCUGAACUUGUUGGUCCGGUUUGAAGGCCUCCAUGUGGUCCAGUAGAAGUCCACGUAGUCGGUGUUGGCUUUGAACCGCAGCGACUGGCCGCCAUCAGGUGGACCGGCUCGUCCUCGUAGGGCUCCUCCUGUAGCCUUGAGGGGACCACAGGAACAUUCAGUAGCUGUUGGAGUUCUUCCUGUCAGGCUCGUGGUAGAACGGCUCUGAAGAAUCUUGUACUUGUCUUAUCUGGAACAAUCUAACAGCCUAAACUGUUAACAGCAGCGUAAAGAAGCAAACACACAGGCAUAGAUUAGGACUCAAACUAGAUUCAUUUUAGAAAACAAAUCAACUUAGAGGCAUUUGUUCACAUGUGGCUGAAUAGGAGGCCGUCCAAUCAGAUUGGAGGUCUUCACUCUGUAGGUUGUUUGUUUGGUGAGACUCUUGGACCUCCAUCAGCUGACAUGGAUGUUUGAUAGUCUUCCUCUCUAGUGCCAGAUGAUUCAUCCAUGAAUUCAGCAGCUACAGACUGAAAUGAAGCUCAUGCUGCCGUGAUUGAAUUCCUGUUCCAGAUCAAAUGUUCAGAGCUCACCUUGAAUGCAGCCGUCUGCUGUCUGAUAGUUUUUCUCAUUGUAGUCUUCAAUAAAGUCUUUUUCCUCA